AUUGAACGCUGGCGGAAUGCUUUACACAUGCAAGUCGAGCGGCAGCGCGGGGCAACCUGGCGGCGAGCGGCGAACGGGUGAGUAAUGUAUCGGAACGUGUACUGUCGUGGGGGAUAGCCCGGUGAAAACCGGAUUAAUACCGCAUACGAUCGAGAGAUGAAAGUGGGGGACGGCAAGGCCUCACGCGAUAGGAGCGGCCGAUAUCUGAUUAGCUAGUUGGUGGGGUAAAGGCCCACAAAGGCUACGAUCAGUAGCUGUCUGAGAGGAGGAGCAGCCACACUGGGACUGAGACACGGCCCAGACUCCUACGGGAGGCAGCAGUGGGGAAUUUUGGACAAUGGGGGCAACCCUGAUCCAGCCAUUCCGCGUGAGUGAAGAAGGCCUUCGGGUUGUAAAGCUCUUUUGUCCGGGAAGAAACGGUUUUGGCUAAUAACCAAGACUACUGACGGUACCGGAAGAAUAAGGACCGGCUAACUACGUGCCAGCCGCCGCGGUAA
rnacentral:rRNA from 1 species